GACGAACGCUGGCGGCGUGCCUAAUACAUGCAAGUCGAGCGGACUUGACAGAGCUUGCUCUGUUCAAGUUAGCGGCGGACGGGUGAGUAACACGUGGGCAACCUGCCCUGCAGAUUGGGAUAACUCCGGGAAACCGGGGCUAAUACCGAAUAAUAUGGAAAACCUCAUGGUUUUCUUUUAAAAGGCGGCUUCGGCUGUCACUGCAGGAUGGGCCCGCGGCGAAUUAGCUAGUUGGUGAGGUAACGGCUCACCAAGGCGACGAUGCGUAGCCGACCUGAGAGGGUGAUCGGCCACACUGGGACUGAGACACGGCCCAGACUCCUACGGGAGGCAGCAGUAGGGAAUCUUCCGCAAUGGACGAAAGUCUGACGGAGCAACGCCGCGUGAGUGAAGAAGGUUUUCGGAUCGUAAAACUCUGUUGUUAGGGAAGAACAAGUAUCGGAGUAACUGCCGGUACCUUGACGGUACCUGACCAGAAAGCCACGGCUAACUACGUGCCAGCAGCCGCCGUAAGAC
rnacentral:rRNA from 1 species